rnacentral:rRNA from 1 species
UACAGAGGGUGCAAGCGUUAAUCGGAGUUACUGGGCGUAAAGGGCGCGUAGGCGGUUGUGUAAGUGAGAUGUGAAAUCCCCGGGCUUAACCUGGGAACUGCAUUUUAGACUGCACGACUGGAGUACUGUAGAGGAUAGUGGAAUUUCCGGUGUAGCGGUGAAAUGCGUAGAGAUCGGAAGGAACACCAGUGGCGAAGGCGACUGUCUGGACAGAUACUGACGCUGAGGCGCGAAAGCGUGGGGAGCAAACAGG